rnacentral:lncRNA from 1 species
GUAACUGUAAGCCUGCUUCAAGCUAGCCCACCCCCUUUUUAAAGUGUGUAUAAAAGUCAAGUGCUCGGAGUCGCUUCCAAGAUGGCCAAAUAGGAACAGCUCCAGUCUGCAGCUCCCAGCGAGAUCAACACAGAAGACAGGUGAUUUCUCCAUUUCCAACUGAGGUCUCUCUCUGGCCCUCCUGGUCUCGCAAUGGUGAGACAUGCCUUUCACCUUCCACCAUGAUUGUGAGGCCUCCCCAGCCACAUGGAAUUCCCAGGUGCUGCACCCAGGCAGUCUGACGAAGCUGUUCCCGCUCCCAAUCUGGCCAGACACGGCUCUGCGUAAUUGCGCUCUGCGGUCCACCUGCUCCCCCGCGGCAGUCCCCCAGCUCCGCAGCAGGUGGGGCCGCCGCACAACCUCGCAGGCCCAGUGAGACAUAGGAAACGCCAAACUGGGUUACAAGUGUGAUAGAUGACUCCGUGUCGGAAUACAGAAGCAGAGGGAGGGCUCUGGGAACAAAGCCCUGAGGAUGAGACGCAGUCCUCAAACUCGACAGUUCACAGUCCGCAGGGGAGCAGACGUGGGAGCAAUA